GACAGAGGCCCCAAGCGUUAGGCGGAAUCACUGGGCUUAAAGCGUGUGUAGGCGGAUCGUUAAGUGUCUUGUGAAAUCCCACGGCUCACCCGUGGAACUGCUGGGCAUACUGGCGAUCUUGGGCCAACUAGGGGCAGCCGGAACAAGCGGUGGAGCGGUGAAAUGCGUAGAUAUCGCUUGGAACGCCGAAGGUGAAAACAGGCUGCUGGGGUUGUGCCGACGCUGAGACACGAAAGCGUGGGGAGCAAACAGG
rnacentral:rRNA from 1 species